AUGAGAGACAGAGAAUGCAAAAGAGAGAGCGCAAAAGAGAGAUCAAGAAGGAGAACGAGAGAGAGAGAGAGAUGAAGAAACAUUACAUACUUCUCAUCACAGAUAGUCAUGACGGGCGAGUCGAGACACAGUGUGAACAGACUUUUCUCUAUCAGCCUCACAGACUCCUUAUUGAUCUUAUCUAAGAGACAGGACAAGGACAGUGAGGAAGGAAUGUUGUGCAGUAGGUAGUGAGUAGUGAUCAGGACAUGUAGUGCAGUAGGUAGUGAGUAGUGAUCAGGACAUGUAGUGCAGUAGGUAGUGAGUAGUGAUCAGGACAUGUAGUGCAGUAGGUAGUGAGUAGUGAUCAGGA